rnacentral:rRNA from 1 species
UACGAAGGGGGCUAGCGUUAAUCGGAAUUACUGGGCGUAAAGCGUGCGCAGGCGGUUUUGUAAGUCUGAUGUGAAAUCCCCGGGCUCAACCUGGGAAUUGCAUUGGAGACUGCAAGGCUAGAAUCUGGCAGAGGGGGGUAGAAUUCCACGUGUAGCAGUGAAAUGCGUAGAGAUGUGGAGGAACACCGAUGGCGAAGGCAGCCCCCUGGGUCAAGAUUGACGCUCAUGCACGAAAGCGUGGGGAGCAAACAGG